rnacentral:misc_RNA from 1 species
ACCAUUUUCAUAGAAUCAUUAUGAUGAUUAACUAAAUUGUGGAUAAAUAAAAACCAAAAUACCAGUGGAAUGAAAUAUUGUCAUUACUUGGCCAUGAGCUUUUAAGUGUGUGUGUCUAUGUUUCUAGCGGGGCACAUGCCUGUAAUCAUAGCUCUUGGUAGRAAGUGACAAGAUUAGGCCUUGAGUAGAGCAAGUUUGAGGCUAAUAUGGGCUGUGUGARACACUAUCUCAAAGCAAACAGUAUGUUCCUGAGAUAGGGCUGUAACUCAAUSACAAAGCACUGUCUAAUAUCGCGAAGCCCCCCAAGUUCAAUCCACAGCCACUCAGAGGCUCCAGAGUCCUCCCUUCUACUCCUAUUGAGUACAGUUUCAUUAGAGGUGAUACACACCAUUUUUCCAAAUGGCUAAUUGUGCCUUUUACAUAUAGUUGAUGAUAAAAAUACAUAUUGUGAAAUAAAAUAUUGUAUAUAUGUGUGCAUGCACACAUCUACUGUUCUGAACAGAGAACCCAGGACUUUAUGAAGGACUUUAUUAACUAUUGCCCCUAAGCCAUGAAAGAUAUUUCUUUGACUGGCAUAUUCGCAGCAUGAUUUUUCCACUCUUCUGCACUCUUCAACUUGUGGUUCGUGUAUGCAUGUGUGUACAAACACACAUACACAUGCAGUGUAGAGGUGUCACUAUUUUGACCAGGCUCGUCC